rnacentral:rRNA from 1 species
CACGUAGGGUGCGAGCGUUGUCCGGAAUUAUUGGGCGUAAAGAGCUCGUAGGCGGUCUGUCGCGUCUGCUGUGAAACUCAGGCUUAACCUGAGCUUGCAGUGGGUACGGCAGACUAGAGGUGCGGUAGGGAGACUGGAAUUCCGUGGUGUAGCGGUGAAAUGCGCAGAUAGUCAAGGAGGAACACCAGUGGGCGAAGCGACUUCCUGGCCGUGUU